rnacentral:piRNA from 1 species
ACCUCAGCCUGAGCGCACACGCAGCA